rnacentral:rRNA from 1 species
UCCNGCCNUGCCGCGUGUGUGAAGAAGGCCUUAGGGUUGUAAAGCACUUUCAGGGGUGAGGAAGGGUGCGCUGUUAAUACCAGCGUACUUUGACGUUAGCCCCAGAAGAAGCACCGGCUAACUCUGUGCCAGCAGCCGCGGUAAUACAGAGGGUGCAAGCGUUAAUCGGAAUUACUGGGCGUAAAGCGCGCGUAGGUGGUUUGUUAAGUCUGAUGUGAAAUCCCAGGGCUCAACCUUGGAAUGGCACCGGAUACUGGCAUGCUAGAGUACGGUAGAGGGGUGUGGAAUUUCCUGUGUAGCGGUGAAAUGCGUAGAUAUAGGAAGGAACAUCAGUGGCGAAGGCGACACCCUGGACUGAUACUGACACUGAGGUGCGAAAGCGUGGGGAGCAAACAGGAUUAGAUACCCUGNGUAGU